AACGAACGCUGGCGACAGGCCUAACACAUGCAAGUCGAGCGAGGACUUCGGUCCUAGCGGCGGACGGGUGAGUAACGCGUGGGAACGUGCCCUUUGCUACGGAAUAGCCCCGGGAAACUGGGAGUAAUACCGUAUGUGCCCGAGAAGGGAAAGAUUUAUCGGCAAAGGAUCGGCCCGCGUUGGAUUAGGUAGUUGGUGGGGUAAUGGCCUACCAAGCCGACGAUCCAUAGCUGGUUUGAGAGGAUGAUCAGCCACACUGGGACUGAGACACGGCCCAGACUCCUACGGGAGGCAGCAGUGGGGAAUCUUAGACAAUGGGGGAAACCCUGAUCUAGCCAUGCCGCGUGAGCGAUGAAGGCCUUAGGGUUGUAAAGCUCUUUCAGUGGGGAAGAUAAUGACGGUACCCACAGAAGAAGCCCCGGCUAACUCCGUGCCAGCCGCCGCGGUAACAC
rnacentral:rRNA from 1 species